GUAAAGGCUUCAUUUCCUGAAAUCUCCAUGCUCAGGCAAUUAAAUGAGUGAGAAUUAUAAUCAUCUCUGGACCCUUUUUCAUAAGGACUCACCAAUACUGAGCCUUAUUGAACAUCUGCACCAUUGGGAUAGCUGAACUUCAUUUUGUUCAGUCUUCGUAUUUAAACAACUUGAAACCUCACAAGCAUCCUUUACAGAGUGCCACUUGCUCCUUGCGAAAGUCCCUGCAGGGGCAGAGCCGCCUAAAUUUUGGAUGGUGACCUGCACAGCUGAAAAGCAGGACCUGCUUCUGAAGAUAGGUCUAGAUGGAAAGCACAGGCGAGCAGUCAAAGACAAAAUCAUCAGUCCAGGGCCACUGAAACUUUGUGGACAACUUUCUUCAGAGGCCAAUGGCACGCACUAUCCACACAGAUUAGAUUGUCAUUCAGUGACAGGAUCCCCCCAGCCCCCCAAAACAAAACCAUCACAUGCCCAGUGAACUAAUCAAAAGACAAAUAUCCAAAACCUGUAUGACACCAAAAUUUUGCAACAACUUCCUGCUGCUAUAUAACAAUUGCUGAUCUUCCAUGUGAUCA